CCCUUAGAUGUUCUGGGCCGCACGCGUGCUACACUGAGUGGAUCAGCGGGUCAGGUUGCGCGAAAGUGUUUCCUAAUCUUGAAAUCCGCUCGUGAUGGGGAUUGACGGUUGCAAUUUUCCGUCAUGAACGAGGAAUACCUUGUAAGCGCGGGUCAUCAUCCCGCGCUGAAUACGUCCCUGCCCUUUGUACACACCGCCCGUCGCUCCUACCGAUUGAGUGGUCCGGUGAGGCUUUGGGAUCUGAGCGGAAAGAGCGUUUCGCUGUUUCUGCUCGGAAAACUCAGUCGAACCUUAUCAUUUAGAGGAAGGAGAGGUCGUAACA
rnacentral:rRNA from 1 species